AAAAACCAAAAAACGUAGUAUCUAAAAGGUAGGGCACCAAUAUCAAAUUGCAACUGUACUGGCCAUAUGCAAUGUAGAGCACCAAUAUCAGAUCGCAACUGUACUGGCCAUAUGCAAUGUAGUCUUUUUCUCCAGGUUUCCCCUCUCUUCUAGGCUGGACAAUGGAGGAGGCUUGAAACAGUAGCUGGCAAGUGGUAGAAGAGAUGGAGCAGAGAAGCAAGAAGAAGCAGACUCCUCACUCCUUCACCAGGGUGGAUUUGCUGGUUUGAAGCAGACCUGAGUUGGGAGAGGAGAGAGGCGAGAAGUUUUAAUUGGAUGAAAUAUUUCUUUAGACUGGUCUAUACUUUUUUCUUUAUAUCUAAAAUUCACUGGAAGAGCUAUGAAAUCUGUCCAAGAUUUCGUUCAGUUCAGGAAAAACCAAAACCAAAACCAUAACCACCAGGUAAUACACAUGUGACUCAGAUGCCACCAAAGAAGUAUGUGUCCAAGACCUCAAGUUGAAAGCUGUGGACUGCGGAGGGACUCUCUGGUGAAGUUGUUGCAAGCAUGAUUAAUUCAUUGGGGCAGCAAUGGCAGCCAAGCCAGUGGUGGUAUCCUGUGUCCAGGAGUGGUAUUGGUGAUUCAGUUUGCAGCCUCUGAGGUACAAGGAUAAGGAAAAUGGUGACCAGAUCAGUUUUGCUGCCUCAGAUUAGACAUAAUUUCAAGCUGUAUAUCUCUAAUCCUCCUAAUAAUUCUAUGACCUACAUGAUAUCCUUUAAAUAAAUGACUUAUCAUUUAAAAUAA